UUGGCGGACGGGUGAGUAACGCGUGGGCAACCUGCCCCGUNCCGGGGGAUACCGCCUGGAAACAGGCGCUAAUACCGCAUAAGCGCAUACAGCCGCAUGGCAGUAUGCGGAAAGCUCCGGCGGCACGGGAUGGGCCCGCGCCCGAUUAGCCAGUUGGCGGGGUAACGGCCCACCAAAGCGACGAUCGGUAGCCGGCCUGAGAGGGCGGACGGCCACAUUGGGACUGAGACACGGCCCAAACUCCUACGGGAGGCAGCAG
rnacentral:rRNA from 1 species